rnacentral:rRNA from 1 species
GUUAAGAAGAGAGAAUGCCGGAAUGAGUAGCGAGAUGGAGGUGGGAAUCCUCCAGGCCGAAUAUCUAAGGUUUCCAGAGUAAAGCUGAUCUGCUCUGGGUAAGUCGGGGCCUAAGGCGAGGUCGAAAGACGUAGUCGAUGGACAACAGGUUGAAAUUCCUGUACCGCGUAUUAUCAGAACUGUGGGGACACAGAACCGAAGCCAAACCCGGGAAUGAAAAGACCGGGGCAAGCGCCGGACUGGUUAGACUGGAAAAACCGUCUAACAACAGGAAAGCGUGACGCGUACCGAACAAAAGUAGGGAAGUUGGUAUAGGGGCUGUCAAGAAAAGCCGCUAUUGUGUAAUACGUGCCCGUACCGUAAACCGACACAGGUGGAUGAGGAGAGAAUCCUAAGGCCGGCGGGAGAAGCAUUGUUAAGGAACUCGGCAAAAUGGCUCCGUAACUUCGGGAUAAGGAGCGCCCACGAGAGUGGGCCGCAGAGAAUAGGCUCAAGCAACUGUUUAGCAAAAACACAGGUCUAUGCAAAACCGAAAGGUGAGGUAUAUGGGCUGACGCCUGCCCGGUGCUGGAAGGUUAAGAGGAGAGGUUAGAGCAAUCGAAGCUUUGAAUUUAAGCCCCAGUAAACGGCGGCCGUAACUAUAACGGUCCUAAGGUAGCGAAAUUCCUUGUCGGGUAAGUUCCGACCCGCACGAAAGGCGUAAUGAUUUGAGCGCUGUCUCGACAAUGCACCCGGUGAAAUUGAAGUACCAGUGAAGAUGCUGGUUACCUGCGCCAGGACGGAAAGACCCCAUGGAGCUUUACUCCAGCUUGAUACUGGGAUUCGGUGUCGCAUGUACAGGAUAGGUGGGAGGCAGUGAAGGUAGGACGCCAGUCUUACCGGAGCCAUUGUUGGGAUACCACCCUUGCGAUAUUGGGUUUCUAACCUGCGGCCAUGACCUGGCCGGGGGACAAUGUCAGGUGGGGAGUUUGACUGGGGCGGUCGCCUCCGAAAGUGUAUCGGAGGCGCUCAAAGGUUCCCUCAGAAUGGUUGGAAACCAUUCGAAGAGUGCAAAGGCAUAAGGGAGCUUGACUGCGAGACUGACGGGUCGAGCAGGUACGAAAGUAGGACUUAGUGAUCCGGUGGUAUAAAGUGGGAUUGCCAUCGCUCAACGGAUAAAAGCUACCCUGGGGAUAACAGGCUUAUCACUCCCAAGAGUUCACAUCGACGGAGUGGUUUGGCACCUCGAUGUCGGCUCAUCGCAUCCUGGGGCUGAAGUAGGUCCCAAGGGUUGGGCUGUUCGCCCAUUAAAGCGGUACGCGAGCUGGGUUCAGAACGUCGUGAGACAGUUCGGUCCCUAUCCGGCGUGGGCGUAGGAUAUUUGAGAGGAGCUGUCCUUAGUACGAGAGGACCGGGAUGGACUGACCUCUGGUGUACCGGUUGGGUAUCAAACCCAUGGCCGGGUAGCUAAGUCGGGAAGGGAUAAACGCUGAAGGCAUCUAAGCGUGAAGCCCCCCUCAAGAUGAGAUAUCCCAUCGCAAGAGUAAGACCCCUUGAAGACGACGAGGUAGAUAGGGCAGAGGGGGAAGCAUGGCAACAUGUGGAGCUGACUGUCACUAAUAGGUCGAGGGCUUAACCAA